rnacentral:rRNA from 1 species
AGUGAACGCUGGCGGUAGGCCUAACACAUGCAAGUCGAACGGCAGCACAGUAAGAGCUUGCUCUUACGGGUGGCGAGUGGCGGACGGGUGAGGAAUACAUCGGAAUCUACUUUUUCGUGGGGGAUAACGUAGGGAAACUUACGCUAAUACCGCAUACGACCUACGGGUGAAAGCAGGGGAUCUUCGGACCUUGCGCGAUUGAAUGAGCCGAUGUCGGAUUAGCUAGUUGGCGGGGUAAAGGCCCACCAAGGCGACGAUCCGUAGCUGGUCUGAGAGGAUGAUCAGCAACACUGGAACUGAGACACGGUCCAGACUCCUACGGGAGGCAGAAGUGGGGAAUAUUGGACAAUGGGCGCAAGCCUGAUCCAGCCAUACCGCGUGGGUGAAGAAGGCCUUCGGGUUGUAAAGCCCUUUUGUUGGGAAAGAAAGGCAGCAGGUUAAUACCCCGCUGUUCUGACGGUACCCAAAGAAUAAGCACCGGCUAACUUCGUG